AAAACGGGCACUAUGACAUUGACAUCGUCAUCUACAUGAUGAGAUUGAACAAUCUGAAUCAUGCCUUCAUCCAUCAGACGCUGGAUGUCCCUUUUCACCACAACAUGCCCUCUUGGGUUCACGCUACAAAUAUCACAACCAUUGUGAUCAUGUUCACAGUCACUCACCAAACAGACAUCUUUAUGCAUUUGCACCAAAGAUCUUCGGAUAAACCGG
rnacentral:lncRNA from 1 species